AUCUUUGUGUUUGUGGCAGUGAAAAAUCUAGUGAGGUGAAAUUGAGGCAUGUCAAUUGUUGGUUGAAAACUAUUUCCAAUUCGCCAAUAAUUAAAAUGUGGAUUAAAAUCGC
rfam:Picea glauca, whole genome shotgun sequence.